ensembl:lncRNA
UUACUUGUGUACACACGUGCCUUUUUUUUCAUCGUGUGCCCUCACCUGUUUCGCAUUGUGUGAUUGCCACUUAACUGUAUUAGCCGGGGUAUAAAUACCUCACUAGUUUCUGUGCACUUUAUCGGGUCGUUGGUCUUUUCCCAAGAAGACAGGUAGUGUUCUCUAGCACUUUGGUGCCUCUAGCUCUAGUUAGCCUCCUGUUUCAGGUUUGUGUCUUGUUGCGGUUCUCAAGCCGCUUUUGUUGUGCGUUGCUUCUUAAAGCUUCGCCUCUCGUAGCUAUUGUUCAGUUCCGCCUGAAAGCUACACUUUUCGAAGCUCCUUUAGUUUAUUGCCUUUUGCCCUGUAAUACGUAUCUUCUGUGUGUUUGGAUUUUCCGUUGCCGGGAAAUACCGCUUUCAAAAUAAAGAGAAACAAAGUUUAAACAACAUCCUGCAAUUGGGUUCUCACUAGCUCACUUGGUUAAUCAUUGGUCUGCCGAUCCAAUGACCGGGGUCAACCCUCGACUCCGGAGCCUGACACUUACCAAUAGUUCACUUACCCUCCUAGGUUAUGUAAUGGACUUACCAAUAGUGAUUGGAGUUCACUUAUCCUCCUAGGUGAUGUUAUGGACGUUAAAAAUGCAGUUUUGAUUAAAAAAAAUACCCAUUUGAUAACAACCAAUUAUUAAGAACCGGUUAUUUCAGCAAGGUUGUUAAUAGAUUACCUUGUAUCACAUGAUAGACCUGAUAAUUGCUGCUUUCCUGUUGUGUCACAUAUGAGCUACUUCCAUUAUUUUGUAUUAUCUUACUCUGUAACCCAUGUUCCUGCUCAUGCACUCUGACCUUGUCUCAGUAAGAGGAGAUCGCUGAGACCAUUAGCAUUCAAAUGGCUUUUGUGAGGAUUCAGGCUCUCCUGUAUACAUUUGCAGUGAACUAUAGAUCUUUGAGAAGAGCGACACUGUCAUGUCAAAAUUAUGAAGGAUGUCUGAAUAUCAGAGGUUCGGUCUCCAAGUUGCAAGCUAAAAAUGACAUCAGCAGGAUGUAUUCAAAGAAUUUUGUCAGUGUUGAAUCGAUAAAUAUAUCUAUGUGUGACUGGUCCUUCCAAAUCAAACUUGAGAAGCUACAGUAUAUAACUGAUACAGCACACAACAUAAAGUAUGCUGAUAAAAAAGAACUAAAAUGUCUCACAGAGAAACAACAAGAAAUAUUUUGCAAUAACAGUGGCAUGACUUAAUAUCACUUGUGAAUUUGUAUUUCUUCAAUUUAAGCUUAAAAUCAAUUUAAGAUGGAAUCAAGUGGAGGAGAUUAGUCGGGU